CAGCACUGCCUUUGUGCCUCUGUGUGUUAGCAGCCCUGAGGUGGGGAGAGGUUGGCCCAUUUGGCAGAGGGCAACUGAGGCUCAGCAUAGGGGAUGCUGCCCGUCCUCUGAGAAGUCACUGCUCCUUAGGGCUACAGUUUCCCCCUGUAUGAAAUGAGAUACUCACAGCCCCUACUUCAUGGGUGGUUGUAAGAGCCUAGCUCAUAGGGCUACGCCACACCCGCUUGGGCAAGGACUGUCAUCGUCCUUAUCCACAUUCCCCUGUGGAACCUCCCACCAGGGAAAGGAUCCCAAUCCCAGCACCUGCUCUACAAGUUGCCAAGACCAGCCAAGCACCCCUGCCCCUGCCCCCUGCUCCAGGUUUCUCUAGAUCUACUGCUCGCCAGGACCUGGGCUCAGUGUCAGCCCCUGAGGUGACCUUCCAGAAGCCAGCCCUGGGGUCUAAUCCUCCCCUGCCAGGAUACCCUUCCAGGAAGCUUCCUCACCCCUUCCUCAGCAGCCGCUCCCCUGGGUGACUUGUCCCAGCCUGCCCCCCCAGCACUAGGAUGACAGUGUCUGUGGGGGGGCCAGGAGUGAUGAUGCACACCUGAGACACUGAGUACUUGUGCAUGGUAAAACUGAUGUUCACAGAGAAA